rnacentral:rRNA from 1 species
GAUGAACGCUGGCGGCGUGCUUAACACAUGCAAGUCGAACGAACCUUCGGGUUAGUGGCGGACGGGUGAGUAACGCGUGAGAAUCUGCCCUCAGGAGGGGGACAACAGCUGGAAACGGCUGCUAAUACCCCAUAUGCCGCGAGGUGAAAUGAAUUUCGCCUGAGGAUGAGCUCGCGUCUGAUUAGCUAGUUGGUGUAGGUAAUGGCUCACCAAGGCAUCGAUCAGUAGCUGGUCUGAGAGGAUGAUCAGCCACACUGGGACUGAGACACGGCCCAGACUCCUACGGGAGGCAGCAGUGGGGAAUUUUCCGCAAUGGGCGAAAGCCUGACGGAGCAAGGCCGCGUGAGGGAUGAAGGCCUCUGGGCUGUAAACCUCUUUUAUCAAGGAAGAAGAUCUGACGGUACUUGAAAGGAAGCCACGGCUAAUUCCGUG